CAAGCGGUGGAGCAUGUGGUUUAAUUCGAUGCAACGCGAAGAACCUUACCUACUCUUGACACCCACGGAAUUCGGCAGAGAUGCCUUAGUGCCUUCGGGAACCGUGAGACAGGUGCUGCAUGGCUGUCGUCAGCUCGUGUUGUGAAAUGUUGGGUUAAGUCCCGCAACGAGCGCAACCCUUAUCCUUUGUUGCCAGCGAUACGGUCGGGGACUCAAAGGAGACUGCCGGUGAUAAACCGGAGGAAGGUGGGGAUGACGUCAAGUCAUCAUGGCCCUUACGAGUAGGGCUACACACGUGCUACAAUGGCGCAUACAAAGAGAAGCGACCUCGCGAGAGCAAGCGGACCUCAGAAAGUGCGUCGUAGUCCGGAUCGGAGUCUGCAACUCGACUCCGUGAAGUCGGAAUCGCUAGUAAUCGUGGAUCAGAAUGCCACGGUGAAUACGUUCCCGGGCCUUGUACACACC
rnacentral:rRNA from 1 species